UGUAGUGGACUCAACGAGUCAACAAAUAGAUAUAGUAGGUUAAGAUCGUCACUAGCUAUAGAUUUCUGUGCAGCGACGGACUCUCGGCGGUGUGUUUUGAUGAUUAGGCUCCUUAGAUUUGGACGAAGAUGUUUAGAUUACUUAUUUUGUUGAUGUUACUCUGUUGAGAUUUUUGAUCAGAUUGAAAUAAUCUUUUGAUCAGCUUUGUUUGCUUGUGUUCGUUAGACUUGAGAUGUUUAGAUCGAUCUAAGAUUUUUUUUUUUUUUUUCUUUUAUCAGCUUGAAAUAAUCUUUAGUUGUUUUCUCUGUUUUGUUACUGUAUAAGAUGAUUAUACUCUGGUUGAUAUACGAUUUUGUUUUGUAGUGUCUCGUCUUCUCAGCAGUCGCUCAGUGAAGAAGAUAAGAACAAGGAAGGAAGCAGCUCGGAAGAUGAUUGUUUUCUCUCAUCAUCACACGAACUAAGACUUGGAAACAUCCAAAACGGUCUAAGGGAGCUUAGCGUUGAUCACUCAUCCUUGGCUUCACUCCUCAGCAAGCGACUGGAUAUUACCUGGAACUCCAUGGUGAAAGCCAAGGAGAGUUACACCAGCAAGGAGUGGGAUGCUGUUCUUAAGCAUACUAGCGAUGCAAUUGAGCAAGGGGAGGCAAACGGGCUUUGCUUGCACUUUUACCUACUAUGAAACCUUAUGUGUCUUUUGAACCCUUGCAUUUGAAUUUGGGCAAAUAAGGGGACAAAAGCCCUUUACUUGCUUUUAUGUGUGGCCCAUUACAGUUAUGCAAAGUUGCAAACCCCAGCAUCUCUUGCUAAUUGUACUUUUGGAAACGUUCACAUCUUCACCUCGUAGUAUAUAGAUAAUGAAUCUUCUUGAUACA